rnacentral:rRNA from 1 species
ACAGAGGGUGCAAACGUUGCUCGGAUUUACUGGGCGUAAAGCGCGUGUAGGCGGACUCGCAAGUCGGUUGUGAAAUCCCUGGGCUUAACCUAGGAACUGCAUCCGAAACUGCUUGUCUUGAGUAAUGGAGAGGGUGGCGGAAUUCCCGGUGUAGAGGUGAAAUUCGUAGAUAUCGGGAGGAACAUCAGUGGCGAAGGCGGCCACCUGGACAUUUACUGACGCUGAGACGCGAAAGCGUGGGGAGCAAACAGG